rnacentral:rRNA from 1 species
GACGAACGCUGGCGGCGUGCUUAACACAUGCAAGUCGAACGGACCCUAGCAAUAGGGUUAGUGGCGGACGGGUGAGUAACACGUGAGCAACCUGCCCUAUACAACGGGAUAACACUAAGAAAUUGGUGCUAAUACGGUAUAAGACCACACUGAGGCAUCUCAGAGGGGUAAAAGCUGAGGCGGUAUAGGAGGGGCUCGCGGCCCAUUAGAUAGUUGGUGAGGUAACGGCCCACCAAGUCGACGAUGGGUAGCCGACCUGAGAGGGUGAUCGGCCACAUUGGAACUGAGAUACGGUCCAAACUCCUACGGGAGGCAGCAGUGGGGAAUAUUAGGCAAUGGAGGCAACUCUGACCUAGCAACGCCGCGUGAAUGAAGAAGGCCUUCGGGUUGUAAAGUUCUUUAAUUGGGGACGAAGAAAGUGACGGUACCCAAAGAAUAAGCCACGGCUAACUACGUGCCAGCAGCCGCGGUAAUACGUAGGUGGCAAGCGUUGUCCGGAAUGACUGGGCGUAAAGGGUGCGCAGGCGGUCUGUUAAGUCAGCGGUCAAAGCCCGGGGCUCAACCCCGGCCCGCCGUUGAAACUGGCAGUCUCGAGUUGGAGAGAAGUAUGCGGAAUGCGCGGUGUAGCGGUGAAAUGCAUAGAUAUCGCGCAGAACUCCGAUUGCGAAGGCAGCAUGCCGGCUCCACACUGACGCUGAGGCACGAAAGCGUGGGUAUCGAACAGGAUUAGAUACCCUGGUAGUCCACGCAGUAAACGAUGAAUGCUGGCUGUCCGGGGGGACUGACCCCUGGGUGGCGAAGCGAAAGCGAUAAGCAUUCCACCUGGGGAGUACGCCGGCAACGGUGAAACUCAAAGGAAUUGACGGGGGCCCGCACAAGCGGAGGAACAUGUGGUUUAAUUCGAUGAUACGCGAGGAACCUUACCCGGGCUCAAACGGGGAGUGACUCAGGCAGAGACGCCUGUUUCCCACGGGACACUCCCCGAGGUGCUGCAUGGUUGUCGUCAGCUCGUGCCGUGAGGUGUCGGCUUAAGUGCCAUAACGAGCGCAACCCCCGCGUGCAGUUGCUAACAGAUAACGCUGAGGACUCUGCACGGACUGCCGGCGCAAGCCGCGAGGAAGGCGGGGAUGACGUCAAAUCAGCGCGGCCCUUACGUCCGGGGCGACACACGUGUUACAAUGGGUGGUACAGCGGGAAGCCAGGCGGCGACGCCGAGCGGAACCCGAAAUCCACUCUCAGUUCGGAUCGGAGUCUGCAACCCGACUCCGUGAAGCUGGAUUCGCUAGUAAUCGCGCAUCAGCCAUGGCGCGGUGAAUACGUUCCCGGGCCUUGUACACACCGCCCGUCAAGCCAUGGGAGCCGAGGGCGCUUGAAGUGCGUCGCCGCGAGGCGCGCCCUAGAGCGAAAUCGGUGACUGGGGCU